UAAUCAAUUUCUAUUCUCUUUGGUUGCCCCCAUCUCUCCUCUUUCUCUCCCAUUCAUCCUACAAACCCUAAAAUCCUUCUUCAAGCUCAAACGGGCCUGGGUAUGAGAGUAUGAAUGCAACGUAUUAGUUCAACUGUGUUUUCAUUUUCUGAAACUUCAACAUAGUUUAGGUCCUUCACAGGUUAGCAUAACCUUAGGGGUGGGUACCUCAAACAAUAGCUGAAGCAGUAGCUAUGAACAGUUAAACAAUAGCUGAAUUUUCAUUAUUAAGUAUAAAUACUCUCUUCAUUAAGAAUUGUUUUGAUCUAUCCAGAAGAAAGACCUGCAACAUUUUAGAAAACCCAUGUGGAAACUUACGAACGGCGAACCAUAUGACAGAAAAAAGGGUUCAGAACUUCACUGUGCUUUUGUGGUUGGUGGUUGUGCCUGCACUUUGCUACCAUACGAAAUCUCCCAUUUCUUUGAUCAGGCAAAACAGGAGAAGUAGCACCAAAAAAAAAAAAGAUAAGCUCCCUGCCUUAAGGAUGAAGCUCAAGGUGGAUUAUAGUUGCACCCGAAGUGUUUUUAAGAUUUAUUGACCAUGAGCUUGAACUAUCACUGACAAGGAUGAGUGCUUUGCAAAACCAAGAACAAGUUGAGACCGACUGUCAAGAUGAAGAUGCAACAUUGCUAGAACAGACUCAACUGGCUGAUGAGACAGUUGCUGCAAAUGCUUCUCAAGGACAUCAUAAUCCAAUUCAUGUGGGACAUAAUCUAAAAGCUUUACAAUUUAAUGAUCUGGAAGAGGAGGAUGAUAUUGAUUUUGAUGGAUUUGGUGCCACAGGUGCCAUAGUCCCUUCUCCACUGGCACCUGGUGCUAUGUUUUGACAUCACUAGCACAAUGAUAUAAUUGUUGAACAUGAAGGGUCUGUUUGGAGGAGCUUCUGGAGAUGAUCCAAACCUCAUUUGAUCAACUUUCUGGGGAUAUGCAAAGCCUUAAGGCUUCUUCAGGUCAGACAAAAUGUUAUAAGCCUAAUGUUGUUCCAUUUCUCAUUGACUGAUGAAGCAACAUUUUGGCUACUUUUACUUCAAGAUGACUCCACUACAAAUUGGGGAGAGCUAAAAGCUGUUUUUUCUUAAGAGAUUCUUUCCACCUUCUAGGAUGUUGCAAUUGUGUGAUGAGAUAAAUAAUCUCAAUAAGCAAGGGAAGAAGCAUUACAUGAAGCCUGGAUGAAAUUCAACAAGAAGCUGAAACAGUCCCCGAACCACAAGAUAGUAGAUAAAAACAAGUUACAAAUUUUCUAUCGGUCCUUGAACUCUGUUACUAAGAUAGUUAUUGAUUCUAUUGUUAGAGGUUCCAUGAUGUCACAUACCUUUUGUGGAAUAACUUGAGCAGAUGCUAGAAUAUGCUAAAUUUAUGAAAGAUAUGGUUACCAAGAAGAGAUAUGUAAGUUUUGAUGCGACUGACAACUUGCACCACUGCAGUGCAAUAGCAUCUUGUUCUCUUGUCCAGAAGAAGGAAGAUCUUGGGGCUUUCACAAUUCCAUGCACUAUUGGGGAGUUUAACUUACCUAAGGCAUUAUGUAAUCUGAGAGAAUAUAUAAACUUAAGGUCUCUUGUUGUGUUCAUACAGUUGGGGUUAAGAUCCCUCAAACCGACUACGAUGCGGCUACUUAUGGCGGGUUGCACUAUGAAGCAUAUACAAUAGGUAUUUUAUAUGAUGUGCUAGUGAAGUUUGAGACCUAAAUAAUAGGUUAUUGAUUUUAUGUUUGGUUAGUAAGAAGAAAAUAUUGUCUCAAGAGAAUCUAGGUAGCAUCAGUCAAAUACUUUAACAUUGGACCCGUACCCCAGACUUUAACUCAGACUCAGACCCUGAUCUAUAACCUAAUUGUCCCAAACCUUGCCCCUGCCCACAAGUAGAUCCUCAAACCGUUCAUGCCCUUACCCAAGAUCCGACACUGACUCGAGACCUAAUUUCGAUCCUAAUCCCGAGCUAAGAUUAAAGAACCGGAUGCAAACUAGGAUCCGACCUUGACAGUGACAUAUACAUAAUUGGGAUAAGGGUCGAGGCCAGAUAUCGAGCUAGGAGUCAAGUACUCAGAUCCCAAGUCAGGUUUAGUGACCAAGAGUUAGGAAUAAAGAGUUGAGUCUGAGGUCUCAAGUCUCAGGUUCAGGGUUAGGAUCAGGGAGUCCUGCCUAGUCCAGUCUAUCGUUUGGAGUUUGUACCCUUGUCAGGAUCAAUUCCGAGUCGAGUCUUAGAUUGGGGAAGGUUGCAUUUAUAAACUCAUGCCACACGUAAUCAGAUAUAAGGUCGAAUAAACUAGAAGAAAAUUUCACCAAAUUUCUUAAACUUUAUAUCACAUAUCAAGGAAAGAUUUGAAAUCAAGACAAUCAAAAAUGAAAAAGUAAAUUAGGGUUACAAGUGUUUUUGAGGCAGUGGGAUUGGGGAUGGAAAAACAGAGAUUGCAAAAAUUUUAAAUUAUAAUUUUUAGAAUUAAGAUUAAACAUAGUUCUUGUUAAAAAUAAACAAGGAAAUGAGGGCACAUAAUAUGGAAGAGACUAAAAUAUACAGUAUUAAGGGGAAUUUUAGCAGUUCAGUCGGUUGACUACCUGAAUUUUUGCCUCAUAAGUAAGAGUUCGAUUUCCUACUUUGUCAUCCCCUCCAUCAUUUCCCUUUUCAAUAAUAAUAAUAAUAAUAAUAAUAAUAAUAAUAAAUGGUAUUAAAAUAAAUCAUACAAACAUGGAAACAAAUCAAUCAACAUUCAAAGAGGAAAUAGACGGCGUUACCCAGUUUAAGAAGUAUUUGAAUAGUUUCGUCCAUAUUUUGCAAUAUAUGUGUCUCCUUUCCUCUUUUGUAUUAAUUUAUGAUAAAAGUUCCUCUCAGAUCUUCUUCUUUUUAUCCAAACUUUACCGUAAAUCGAAACGAAGAAAAAAAAGAAAGUGAAAAAAAGUUUGAAAAUGAAAAGAAUAUACUGAUUCACAUACAAAAUAACAGGGCUUGAAAAAGGUUGUUAAGGUUUAUAGGAUGAACGUGAGACAAAGAGAAGAGUUGGGGGAGAUUGAAGGACAUAGAAAUGGAUUAGGGUUUAAAAAAUAGUUGAGAGAGUUAAAAAAUAGUGAAGCGGAGAAGUUUGGGUUGUCUAGUUAAAUUGAAUGAACAACGGAGAUUAAAAGAAUCAAAUUGGUUGCGGCCCAAAAAAACCAACCCGAUACCCAAUUAUCUUACUCUCAACUCGAGAUUCAACCUCGACCCCAAUUGGAUCACAAUUAAGCGGCAAGGUCGAACCUAGUCUGGAGUCGGGUCCUUAAUCUCAGUUUGGAAUUAGGGUCGGGAUUAAGUCUCGAGUCAGCAUCGGGUCUUGGUAGUUGAUAGUGUUGAUGGUUGGGGCUUGGGUAAGGGCAUGAUUGGGUUGAGGAUUAUGUUCUGGGGUGGGGUUCAGGUUAAAGUUGAGGGCCCGGGUCCAAUGUCAAAGUAUUUGUUUGAUUAUACUUAAAUGUUCUUGAGACAAUAUUUUCUUCUUACUAGGAAAAAAAGUAUACCCGUAAUGUUCCUUCAUUUCUCCACUUAAAUGUAAUAUAUAAAAAAAACAAGAACUUGUGAAUUAUACAUUAAUUUAAGUUAUUAUAUGCCGAAAUCACUUUGUAUUAAGUGUUACCUACAUUGUAUAACAAAAGAAAAAUAUGAAUAUACACAAACCCACAAUCUUAGUGUUUCAACCUUAAUGAUAAAGGGUAAAAUGAAAUUUGUCGUUAACUUGUUACUAUCAAAUAUAGAAAAAUGUUGUUAUAUUUAGAAUUAAUUAAAAAGGAAAGGAGAUUAUAUAAAUUGCAAUAGAGGGAACAACAAUUUAAUAUAUAAUUCAUAUUUGGAAAUGUUAGGCAAUAAUUGUUUUUGUCACAACCCAAGUCUAUAUCAUGGACGUGGGCGGCAUUCGGAACAAUUGGUGUCCCGAGCUAACCCUUUGACGGGAAUACUAAAAGAUUGAAUAAUGACUAACGGGGAGGCUUUUAAGAGAUGAACAUACUAUGCAAUAACUUAGGACACAAACUUCCUCAAAAAAACUCAUUCUUACUCAAGGACAACAGUCCUCGUCCAAUGGCAUGCUACUAGGUUGUUUUGUCUGUCUUAUCAUUGAACAUGUUUACAAGAAACAAUCAAGUUUUUUGCAAUCUAGAAUAUUCAAAAGAAAAAGUCAUUCUCAAGGAAUAAAGACUCUCAAUAUAAAUGUUAAUCAUUUAUCAUCGGAACAGUUGUAAAAUUUGGGACUUGUGUUAUAUAUUAAACAAUUUUAUUGACCCGUUUUGGUUAGAAUUGGCUACUGCUUCCCUCUACUUUUCCAACUAACCUUGCAUCCUCAAAUUAUAUGAAAAGGGGAAAUAGAAACAGAUAAGGGAAAGCAUACACCGUAAAAUAUCCAAGGAAGAAUAAAAAAUUCCACAACUUUUCGAGGAGGAUUCAGUUGAGUACACAGUGGUGAGCCGACUCUGGUGAAAAAUGAUGUGUUAUAGGAAGAAGGAUGUGUUACCAAUCAAAAAUAAUAGAGGCAUACAAGUAGACAUCUUUCAGUUAAGUAUAUAUGGUUAAUAAAUAUACAUUUCGAUCUCUUAAAUAACGUAGCCAUGGUAAGUCUAUAUUGUUUCGUGUGAAACACUAGGUGCAAGUAAGUUUAUCUCGAUCCGCUUUGUGCACUUCUCGCAGAAGAAACUGAUUAAUAAGGAGUCUCAUUCUGCACUCGAUCAUUUGGCUUUUACAGUUUGCAUGAAUCACAGUUAUAAUACGAUCCAACUAAGAUUACACGUCUUUAUUUUUUGUAAGAUAAAAAUUAUCUUCCUGAAAAGAUUCCUGCAUCGUAGUAACUAAUUCCUGCUUGUAAAUAUGAUUGCAGCUCAUUUUGACAUACUAAUUGUUGGACAUGCUAUAGGUGAAGGGAGAAGGCACAGACAAGCAACAACUGGAUUGUCAUCAAACUCAUCGUUCUCUAGCAGGGACUUCAAAACUACAAAGUUUGUAGAUUUAGAAGAAGCAAUAAAAGAUCAAACAACAUUUUGAAUGAAACCGCAUCCUAUAGAUCUUCCUGUGCUCAUAGCUCUGCAAAAUAUUUACCAGCCUUGGAGUUCGAAGCAUUAGAGGCAUCAAUUCUAGAUUUGGAGGAACUUGCAAACAAAUCAGUUGGCUCAAACGGUUUAUGGAAUCUAGAAGACCUCUUUCUGAUGGUGUUACUCCUUCAUGGAAGUUUGUAAACCACCUUGGAACAUCAACAAAGAAUUGAUGGCUUUAGAAGUUUGGCUUUAUCCUUCCUGUCUUUGACUCCUAAAAUGUAGGUGAUACAAAAAGUAAAGGAGUAAAACAAGUGACUGGCCAUGGCUCCUCAAAGGGCAUUUUCCAGCUGAAUGUAGAGACCGAAGGAAUAACCUACAUUUUAGGAGUCAAAGACAGGAAGGAUCAAGCCAAACUUCCAAAGUCAUCAAUUCUUUGUCGAUGGUCCAUGAUAUUUUACAAACUUCCACGAAGGCGUAACACCAUUAGACAGAGGUCUUCCACAUUCCAUAAACCGUUUGAGCCAACUGAUUUUGUUUGCAAGUUCCUCCAAAUCCAAAAUUGAUGCCUCUAAUGUGUCGGACUCCAAGGCUGGUAAAGAUUUUGCAGAGCUAUGGGCACAGGAAGAUGCAUAGGAUGCGGUUUCAUUUGACAUGUCAUUUGAUCUGUUUGCAACGUCUUCUGAAUCUACAAACUUUAUUGUUUUGAAGUCCUUAUUAGAGAACGAUGAGUUUGAUGGCAAUCCUCUUGUUGCAUGUCUGUCCCUUCUCCCUUCACCUAUAGCAUUUCCAACUAUUAGAAAUUCAAAAUGAGCUACAAUCAUAUUUACAAGCAGAAAUAAGUUCCUACGAUGUAGGAAUCUUUUCAGGAAGAUAAUUCUUAUUUUACAAAAAACAAAGACAUGUAAUUUUAGUUGGAAUGCAUUCAAAGUUUGAUUCAGAUAUUGAAAAAAGUAAAAGCCAAAUGAUCAAGUGCAGAAUGAGAAUCCUUAUUUAUCAGUUUCUUCAGUGAGAAGUGCACAGAGCGGAUCAAGAUAAACUUACUUGUACCUAGUGUUUCACACCAAACAAUAUCAACUUACCAGGGUUAUGUUAUUCAAUGAGGUGGAAAUGUAUAUUUAUUAACCAUAUAUAAUUAAGUGAAAGAAGUCUACUUGUAUGCAUCUAUUCUUUUUGAUUGGUAGCACAUCAUUACAACUUUUAAUGUUCUCAUAUAGCAUGUAUUAGGGGAUUCAGCGACCACAUUCUCUUGCAAAUGGUUUUUCAUCAAUUGUCUACGUUGUUAAGUUUUCUGCAGUAUCAAUGAUAUUUCUUAUUUUGUUUCUUUCAUCUAUUUGACGAGAUUUGGGUUAAGUUUGAUGAUUGCAACACAUAUGCAUACUUCUUGAAAAAUACUUUUGGAAACUUAAAAUUGCAAUAAAUCAUUAUAACUAAUUCGUUUCUUGUUACAGGGUCUUUUAUAGUAUAAUGUCUUACUCGUGCACUCUUUUUACUUUUGC